UACGGGGGGGGCAAGCGUUGUUCGGAAUUACUGGGCGUAAAGGGCUCGUAGGCGGCCAACUAAGUCAGACGUGAAAUCCCCAGGCUCAACCUGGGAACUGCGUCUGAUACUGGAUGGCUUGAAUCCGGGAGAGGGAUGCAGAAUUCCAGGUGUAGUGGUGAAAUGCGUAGAUAUCAGGAGGAACACCGAUGGCGAAAGCAAUCUCCUGGACGCAAACUGACGCUGAGAUACGAAAGCCAAGGUAGCAAACAGG
rnacentral:rRNA from 1 species